UCUCAGUGCCAGGCAGAGCGUCUCUGCACACGGCCCGUGGCCGCCAUCUUGGAUGGAGCCUUGUGGGCGGAGCUUCUGCACACGCCCCACCCCUGUAGCUAAGGUGCAGGUGUAGCCUGUUUUGCAUCAGUAACUCUGGACUGAAGAUCCGGAUACAAGGCCUCUGCUGCCCCCUGCCCGCUGCCCGCUGUGAGCCAGAGAGACUAGACUCCGCACAGAGGAAAAGAAAGCCAGGGCCAAGAAGCUUGGAAAACAGAAGCGAUCGCAGCAGGCAGCCACACCGGGCAUGAGAAGACCUCACAAAGGAAAAUGUUAAAUAUAAUGACAGGUAACCUAAUCCUGAAGGUAACAGAAUCAUCUUCGAAGACACAAGGCUCUAUUUAAUUCUUGCCAAAUGACAGAACAUACCCAGACUUUGAACAGACCUCCGCAGAACCCCAUCCUGUACGCAGCAACAUCUGGAUACAAAGGGGAGUAAUUGCUGGCUGGAAGAGGACCAAUGGCAUCCUUCCGCUCCACCUGCUUCAAGAUGGUUGACUCCCAGCUGCUGAGUAAAGAGGAGGAAUGGGGUCACGAUGGCCUUGUAAAACAGGCCAACCUGGGUUCUGAAAUGCAAGAAAGAGCUAAGCGUGGACACUGUAGGUUAUAUAACAAAAAUGUUGUGAAAUUAUAUUCUCAUACAUUUCUCUAAACAUACAAUGUCUCUGAGGGACCUGGUUGAAAAUAUAUGCCUGAAGCCAAACCUAUCUUUGGGCAUUUUAUUCCCAUGAGUAAAUAUAUACCCUUUGUCAUUUAA